rnacentral:lncRNA from 1 species
AUUGCUCACUCCGGGCUAUUCUUGUUGCUAGGCCAGGCGAACCACAGAUCCCCGUAGCUCCGCAAAGCCUCAACUGCCUCUGUUAGUCCUGGAGAAUAACAUCAAUGAUCUGCAGUCGUGUGAGCGGAAUUCCAGCACAGCUCUUCCACAAUGUGAACCCUCAGCAUCUGAAAGGUUGGCUCAGGUGGCUCAAAGGAACAUACUCCUAUUGACUGUCUAUCUGUGAAUGAGACCAGGUGUUGUUCAGAAUGUAAAAUCUUACUGGUAUGUAAAGGAGUAGAGUGGAUCCAGGAUCUUUACAGGCGCUGUAAACAAAACCAGAAGAUGCUACAAGGCCGAAAUCCUUCCAACAUCCAACUAGAAGAGUGGUUCUGAAAAUCAGUCUACCGCAGACUACUAACGUAUUUCUUUAAGCUUCCACACUGAGGAAAAUGAUGGGGAAUGCCUCUUAAACAUGAGCAGAACCCAAAGCCCCAUCUUCUCCUUCAGACUCUGAAGUGGAGGCUAGGAAGAUAAUUGGGUGACUUUUUCUCCAGCAUUUCCAGAAAGCUGUUGACUUCACCUUGGAAAACUGUUUUCAAAAAGCAUCAUUAAUUACAUCCUCAUGUUGACUUUGUCUCUAACCAACCUAGAGUAAAAGGAGAUAGCUAAUAUUAUUUCAUAAGACUGGAAAAUUAAUAAUAAUGAGAGUAAUUUGCACAAGAGCUCUAUUAAUCAGACUUUUAAAAAAGAUAGCAGAAACUCAAAGUUGAAAUGUAGAUAGUGUAUAAAAAAGUCCACAUAUGGCAACAUAGAGCUGGUGUAUUCAAACUCUUGAAGGCACGGUGGUGAGGGACCGUGAUCUGGUGUCAAACAGACAUCCAAUCAAACCCCGAAUCACCCCCUCAUUAGUUACGUGGUCUUUGCCCAACUACAUAAACUUUCUUAGUCUCAGCUAUUUUCAUAUUCAAAAAGAAAAAAGAAAAAUAAUGGGAUUUACCUUUUAGAAAUACUAAGUGAUAUGUAAAUGCUUAUUCAGAUUCUCAAUAAAUAUAAAUAUUUAUUCUUU